CCCGGCACAAGCGGUGGAGCAUGUGGUUUAAUUCGACGCAACGCGAAGAACCUUACCAGGGCUUGACAUCCCCUGACCGCGUAUGAAAGUACGUUUUCACCCUCGGGUGACAGGGAGACAGGUGGUGCAUGGUUGUCGUCAGCUCGUGUCGUGAGAUGUUGGGUUAAGUCCCGCAACGAGCGCAACCCCUACGUUUAGUUGCUAACGCGUGAAGGCGAGCACUCUAGACGAACUGCCGUUGACAAAACGGAGGAAGGUGGGGAUGACGUCAAAUCAUCAUGCCCCUUAUGUUCUGGGCUACACACGUGCUACAAUGGCCGGUACAGACGGACGCAAAGCCGCGAGGUGGAGCAAAUCCUAAAAAGCCGGUCUCAGUUCGGAUUGCAGGCUGCAAUUCGCCUGCAUGAAGUCGGAAUCGCUAGUAAUCGCAGGUCAGCAUACUGCGGUGAAUACGUUCCCGGGCCUU
rnacentral:rRNA from 1 species